CGCGAGCUGGGUUCAGAACGUCGUGAGACAGUUCGGUCCCUAUCCGUCGCAGGCGUAGGAAAUUUGAGAAGACCUGUCCUUAGUACGAGAGGACCGGGAUGGACGUACCUCUGGUGUACCAGUUGUCCUGCCAAGGGCAUGGCUGGGUAGCUAUGUACGGAAUGGAUAAGCGCUGAAAGCAUCUAAGCGCGAAGCCAACUUCAAGAUAAGAUUUCCCACCGCAAGGGUAAGACCCCAGAAAGACUAUCUGGUUGAUAGGUCGAAGGUGUAAGUGCAGCAAUGUAUUUAGCUUAUCGAUACUAAUAGGUCGAGGACUUGACCAAU
rnacentral:rRNA from 1 species